rnacentral:rRNA from 1 species
UACGUAGGGGGCAAGCGUUGUCCGGAAUCAUUGGGCGUAAAGCGCGUGUAGGCGGCCCGGUAAGUCCGCUGUGAAAGUCGGGGGCUCAACCCUCGAAUGCCGGUGGAUACUGUCGGGCUAGAGUGCGGAAGAGGCGAGUGGAAUUCCUGGUGUAGUGGUGAAAUGCGCAGAUAUCAGGAGGAACACCAAUUGCGAAGGCAGCUCGCUGGGACGUUACUGACGCUGAGACGCGAAAGCGUGGGGAGCAAACAGG